rnacentral:miRNA from 1 species
UUAAAUAAUCGAUCUUAAAAGUACUUUUAAGAUCGGUUAAACUUUAACCGAUCUUAAAAGUGCUACUUUUAAAAUCGGUUAUUUAA